GCCCUCUCAGGAUCACACCUGGAGAGUUUCUAGUACUCUACCGGUCUCGGCUCCGAGAGGGAGAGUCAAGCAGAGGCCUACCCGUUCCAUUCCUAGCUUGGCCAGCGGCUAGCGAGUGGAAGGCGAUCUCCUACAAGU